ACGGAGGGUGCAAGCGUUAUCCGGAUUCACUGGGUUUAAAGGGAGCGCAGGCGGGCAUGUAAGUCAGUGGUGAAAGCCUCGAGCUUAACUCGGGAACUGCCAUUGAUACUGCAAAUCUCGAGUCCGGAAGAGGUGAGUGGAAUUCCUAGUGUGGAGGUGAAAUUCGUAGAUAUUAGGAAGAACACCAGUGGCGAAGGCGGCUCACUGGUCCGGUACUGACGCUGAGGUGCGAAAGCGUGGGGAGCAAACAGGA
rnacentral:rRNA from 1 species